rnacentral:rRNA from 1 species
UACGAAGGGGGCUAGCGUUGUUCGGAAUUACUGGGCGUAAAGCGCGUGUAGGCGGGCUUUUAAGUCAGGGGUGAAAUGCCGGAGCUCAACUUCGGAACUGCCUUUGAUACUGGAAGUCUUGAGUCCGGGAGAGGUGAGUGGAACUGCGAGUGUAGAGGUGAAAUUCGUAGAUAUUCGCAAGAACACCAGUGGCGAAGGCGGCUCACUGGCCCGGAACUGACGCUGAGACGCGAAAGCGUGGGGAGCAAACAGG